rnacentral:rRNA from 1 species
AUUGAACGCUGGCGGCAGGCCUAACACAUGCAAGUCGAGCGAGCGGCGGACGGGUGAGUAAUGCAUGGGGAUCUGCCCGAUAGAGGGGGAUAACUACUCGAAAGAGGGGCUAAUACCGCAUACUAUUGGCGCGGCCGAUAUGGGCUUAGCUAGUUGGUGGGGUAAAGACGCACCAAGGCAACGAUCCGGAGCCGGUUUGAGCGGACGACCAGCCACACUGGGACUGAGACACGGCCCAGACUCCUACGGGAGGCAGCAGUGGGGAAUUUUGGACAAUGGGGGAAACCCUGAUCCAGCCAUCCCGCGUGUAUGAGAAGGCCUUCGGGUUGUAAAGUACUUUUGGCAGAGAAGCGGUAUCUGCAGAAUAAGCACCGGCUAACUACGUGCCAGCAGCCGCGGUAAUUC